rnacentral:rRNA from 1 species
CCGGGGAUUGCCUCAGUAACGGCGAGUGAAGCGGCAAAAGCUCAAAUUUGAAAUCUAGCACUUUCAGUGUUCGAGUUGUAAUUUGAAGAAGGUAACUUUGGUUUUGGCUCUUGUCUAUGUUCCUUGGAACAGGACGUCACAGAGGGUGAGAAUCCCGUGCGAUGAGAUGCCCAAUUCCAUGUAAAGUGCUUUCGAAGAGUCGAGUUGUUUGGGAAUGCAGCUCUAAGUGGGUGGUAAAUUCCAUCUAAAGCUAAAUAUUGGCGAGAGACCGAUAGCGAACAAGUACAGUGAUGGAAAGAUGAAAAGAACUUUGAAAAGAGAGUGAAAAAGUACGUGAAAUUGUUGAAAGGGAAGGGCUUGAGAUCAGACUUGGUAUUUUGCGUUCCCUUCCUUUUUGGUUGGGUUCCUCGCAGUUUACUGGGCCAGCAUCGGUUUGGAUGGUAGGAUAAUGACAUUGGAAUGUAGCUUUACUUCGGUGAAGUGUUAUAGACUUUGUUGAUACUGCCUAUCUAGACCGAGGACUGCGUCUUUGACUAGGAUGCUGGCGUAAUGAUCUUAAGCCGCCCGUCUUGAAACAGAGAGAAACA